rnacentral:rRNA from 1 species
UACGUAGGGGGCAAGCGUUGUCCGGAUUUAUUGGGCGUAAAGAGCGUGUAGGCGGCCAUGCAGGUCCGUUGUGAAAACUCGAGGCUCAACCUCGAGACGCCGAUGGAAACCGCAUGGCUAGAGUCCGGAAGAGGAGAGUGGAAUUCCUGGUGUAGCGGUGAAAUGCGUAGAGAUCAGGAGGAACACCCGUGGCGAAGGCGGCGCCCUGGUCCGUUACUGACGCUGAGACGCGAAAGCGCGGGGAGCGAACGGG